rnacentral:rRNA from 1 species
UGUGUCGCCCGCAAGGGCGCAUGGUGGAUGCCUUGGCAGACAGUACCGACGAAGGACGUUUGAGGAUGCGAUAAGCCUCGGGGAGCCUCCAGCAUGGCUUCGAUCCGAGGAUUUCCGAAUGGGGCAACCCGCCGGCCGUCAUGGGCCGGCACCGCAGGCUUCUGCGGGGGGUACGCAGGGAAGUGAAACAUCUCAGUACCUGCAGGAAGGGAUACUCCGUGAGUAGUGGCGAGCGAAAGCGGAUCAGACCAAACCGCGUGCGCGUGAUACCCGUCGGGGGUUGCGUGCGCGGUGUUGAGGGAGCGCGUGUCCCGGUUCCGACGGACCGGGCGGGAGUCAUAAAGCGGCUUGCCAGGGGAACAGGCUUGAAGGCCUGGCCGCAGAGGGUGCCAGCCCCGUACCUGGACGCUUGCCGUCUUCCGAUCGCGUGUCCCAAGUAGCGCGGGCCUCGUGGAAUCCCGCGUGAAUCCGCACCGACCGUGGUGUAAGUCUAAGCAUACCUGUCUGACCGAUAGCGUACCAGUACCGUGAGGGAAAGGUGAAAAGCACCCCGGGAGGGGAGUGAAAGAGUUCCUGAAACCGUGCGCCUACGAUCCGUCGGAGCCUCCUUGCGGGGUGACGGCGUGCCUAUCGAAAAAUGAGUCUGCGAGUCAGUGAUGCGUGGCGAGGCUAACCCGUCGUGGGGCAGCCGUAGCGAAGGCGAGUCCGAACAGGGCGUUUCUAUAGUCGCGUGUCCUGGACCCGAAGCGGGAUGAUCUAGCCCUGGGCAGGUUGAAGCGCGGGUAAGACCGCGUGGAGGACCGAACCCACCUGGGUUGAAAACCGGGGGGAUGACCUGGGGCUAGGGGUGAAAGGCCAAUCAAAUUCCGUGAUAGCUGGUUCUCUCCGAAAUGCAUUUAGGUGCAGCGUCGGCUUAUUGCAUCGCGGGGGUAGAGCUACCGGAUGCUUGCGGGCCCUUGUGGGGUACCAACAGCAGCCGAACUCCGAAUACCGUUGAUGUGUAUGCCGGCAGUGAGUCGGCGGGGGAUAAGCUCCGUCGUCGAGAGGGAGACAGCCCAGACCGUCGUCCGAGGUCCCCAAGCGUGUGCUAAGUGGGAAAGGAUGUGGGGCCGCAUAGACAGCCAGGAGGUUGGCUCAGAAGCAGCCAUCCUUGAAAGAGUGCGUAACAGCUCACUGGUCUAGUGGUCCCGCGCCGACAAUGUAGCGGGGCUCAAGCACACCACCGAAGACGCGGCGGCGCGUGUAUGCGCGCCGGGUAGGAGAGCGUCCUGCAAGGGGCGAAGCGGCCGGGUGACCGUGCCGUGGACUUUGCGGGAGUGAGAAUGCAGACAUGAGUAGCGAGAGACGGGUGAGGAUCCCGUCCGCCGGAUGACCAAGGGUUCCGGGGCCACGUUCGUCGUCCCCGGGUGAGUCGGGUCCUAAGGCGAGGCCGACAGGCGUAGUCGAAUGGAUGAACGGGUGGAUAUUCCCGUACCGGCAGCGAACCGACAGGACCGAGGCGGUGAGUACUAACCUCCGUCGCGGGCCGUUCCCCUCCUUCGGGUGGGGUCCGGCGCGUGGCGUUGGGAGCGUAGCCGUGGUAGGUGAGCGCAGGGGUGACACGGAAUGGGAGCCGGCCGCGGAGGUGGUUUUCCGUGGUCAAGCACGCAGCCAGUCGCACAGGCAAAUCCGUGCGGCGCGUAUGGCGAGGUGCGAUGAUGGGAGCCGUUUCGGCUCGAUAUCCGGUGGUCCAGGCCGUCGAGAAAAGCCCCGGCGUCAGGCGCGUUGCCGCCCGUACCCCAAACCGACACUGGUGGUCAGGUAGAGAAUACCAAGGCGAUCGAGCGAAUCCUGGUCAAGGAACUCGGCAAACCGCUCCCGUGCCUUCGGCAUAAGGGAGACCCCCGCGGGUGAACGGACAUGCUCCGGGAGCGUGUGGGGGUGGCACAGACCAGGGGGUAGCGACUGUUUACCAAAAACACAGGUGCAUGCGAAGGCGUAAGCCGCUGUAUAUGCACUGACGCCUGCCCGGUGCCGGAAGGUUAAGAGGAUCCGUCAGCCCUUUUUGGGGGUGAAGCGGUGAAUUCAAGCCCCGGUAAACGGCGGUGGUAACUAUAACCAUCCUAAGGUAGCGAAAUUCCUUGUCGGGUAAGUUCCGACCUGCACGAAUGGCGUAACGACUUCCCCGCUGUCUCGACCAGGAGCUCGGCGAAAUUGCAGUACGAGUAAAGAUGCUCGUUAAGCGCAGAAGGACGAAAAGACCCCGGGACCUUUACUAUACCUUGGUAUUGGCGUCAGUCGCGGAUUGUGUAGCAUAGGCGGGAGGCUUCGAGGCGCGGGCGCCAGCCCGCGCGGAGCCGCAAGGUGAAAUACCGCUCUGUUCUCGUUUGACGUCUCACCUCGAACGGUCAUCCUGUUCAGGGACAGUGCCUGGCGGGUAGUUUAACUGGGGCGGUUGCCUCCCAAAGAGUAACGGAGGCGCUCAAAGGUCCGCUCAGCCCGGUUGGCAAUCGGGUGUCGAGUGCAAUCGCACAAGCGGGCUUGACUGCGAGGACGGCGGUCCGAGCAGGGACGAAAGUCGGAGAUAGUGAUCCGGUGCCGGCGCACGGGCGCGGCAUCGCUCAACGGAUAAAAGGUACCCCGGGGAUAACAGGCUGAUCAUUCCCAAGAGUCCAUAUCGACGGGAUGGUUUGGCACCUCGAUGUCGGCUCGUCGCAUCCUGGGGCUGGAGCAGGUCCCAAGGGUUCGGCUGUUCGCCGAUUAAAGCGGCACGCGAGCUGGGUUCAGAACGUCGUGAGACAGUUUGGUCUCUAUCCUCUGCGCUCGUUGGAAUCCUGGGGAGGCCUGCCCAUAGUACGAGAGGACCUGGGUGGACGAACCUCUGGUAUGCCGGUUGUCGCGCCAGCGGCACGGCCGGUUGGCUACGUUCGGGAGGGAUAACCGCUGAAAGCAUCUAAGCGGGAAGCCUGCUCCGAGAUUAGGAUUCCUUGGGCCCUUCGGGGUCCUGCAGCCCGCAUGUGGAACACGUGUUUGAUAGGCCGGAGGUGGAAGCCCCGCGAGGGGUGGAGCCGACCGGUACUAACGGGCGACGGCGACACAGC